rnacentral:rRNA from 5 species
CUGCCAGUAGUCAUAUGCUUGUCUCAAAGAUUAAGCCAUGCAUGUCUCAGUACAAGCCAAAUUAAGGUGAAACCGCGAAAGGCUCAUUAAAUCAGUUAUGGUUCCUUAGAUCGUACCCACAAUUACUUGGAUAACUGUGGUAAUUCUAGAGCUAAUACAUGCAAACAGAGCUCCGACCGGAGACGGAAGGAGUGCUUUUAUUAGAUCAAAACCAAUCGGUGGCGAGUUCGCGCUCGUCAUCGUACAACUUGGUGACUCUGAAUAACUUUACGCUGAUCGCACGGUCUCGCACCGGCGACGCAUCUUUCAAAUGUCUGCCUUAUCAACUGUCGAUGGUAGGUUCUGCGCCUACCAUGGUUGUAACGGGUAACGGGGAAUCAGGGUUCGAUUCCGGAGAGGGAGCCUGAGAAACGGCUACCACAUCCAAGGAAGGCAGCAGGCGCGCAAAUUACCCACUCCCGGCACGGGGAGGUAGUGACGAAAAAUAACGAUACGGGACUCAUCCGAGGCCCCGUAAUCGGAAUGAGUACACUCUAAACCCUUUAACGAGGAUCAAUUGGAGGGCAAGUCUGGUGCCAGCAGCCGCGGUAAUUCCAGCUCCAAUAGCGUAUAUUAAAGU